GGAGGAGUUCCCGAGUGGUCAAAGGGGGCAGACUGUAAAUCUGUUGGCAAAGCCUUCGAUGGUUCAAAUCCGUCCUCCUCCACCA
rnacentral:tRNA from 1 species